GUCGCCGGAACCGGAAGUCGCGCCCCUCCCGGAAGCUGGGAGCGGAGGGGGAGCGGGGUUCGAGGCGCCCGGUCUCUCUAGGCCUUGGCGGUGCUCCGCAGCUUCAUGAUCUUAACCCGUUCUGGUCUCUUGGCCUCCCUCAGUCCCCAGUUCUCCCGACCGUGCGGAGCUUUGGGCACGGCCUAGGAGCUUUUCCGCUGCGGGGAAGGCCUUUGUCUUUCUGAGCCGCAGUUUGCCCAACAAAAUGGAAAGUGGAUGAAGCAGGAAUCGAGACACUCCUGGAGCCAGCCGGCAGCUGAGGAGCCCCACCCUGAGAAGCAGGGUCCACAAGGCCAAGGACCUUGACUGUCCUCUCACCAUGCUUCCAACACAUACAACUGAGCAUGGGCUGGGGAAACGGUCACUGAAUGAAUAAAUGGGAGUCCCUUGAUGCCUCAAUCACUUGGAUGUGAGGGCCAUCGAGUGCUCCAGGGUUCCCAUGGCAGUAUGACCCCAGCUCCCUGGGCCCCAUACUACUCUGGGCCUUCAUUAGAAUAAUAAGCCAAGUCUCCAUUCAUGCUUCCUGUCCAGACUGGAAUCUCGAGGUUCCGGCCCAAGUUGGGGUCAUUCUCCACUGCCCAUGCCUGGCACAGAAUACCAAUUUUCUAAAUGGAAAGAAAAAGAAGUAGAUGGAAAAAAAAAAAGUGGAUGGAAGCAUAUCAAAAUGAUAGAAGCAGCUGUGUAAGAGAGGGGGCAGCAGAGAGGCUGUGUUCCACAUCUCCUCGCUCUGGGGCCAGGCUGACCUGGAGCCACCAGUUACUGAAGCAAAGGGAAAUCGUCCUAUCUCUCAAAUCUUCACCUUGGCCAGAGCAAGCCACAUGGCCAAACUCAACUUCAAGAGGGCAGUCCAGAACUUUCAACAAAGAAGUGCCUAGUAAAUGUUUAAUGAAUGACUCUGAUAUGCUCAUUUCUAUCUAAAUAAUGAGCCAUUUCAGGGCAGGAUCCACGUCGUCUUCCUCCUGUGAGCCCUCCUCAAGAAGAAGGAAUGAAUGCUUGUUGAAUGAAUGAAUGACUGCAGUCCUCCUUCCCCAGCCCAUCAAUGGAAGCAGAAAAUGCACAGCCCUGUCAAUUCCAACAUGAGCCUCCCAAGGGGCUGGUAAGGACGGUAUUUCUGCAGACUCUACCAUGCUUUUAUGCCUGCAUUGAAAAGCUAGUGAUUGUGCAUGUGGCUGUACAACUUCCCGGCAGGUGGACUCUCAACCACUGCGCCACCAGGGAAGCCCUGGUUUUGUUUUUGAUGUUGAUUUUUUGUUGUUGUUUUUUUCUGCCACACCACGGGACAGGCGAUAUCUUAGUUCCCCGACCAGGGAUCAAACCCGUGCCCCCUGUGAUGGAAUCACGGAGUCUUAACCACUGGACCACCAGAGAAGUCCCUCACCCGGUUUUAACCAUGGAAAGUCCUGUGUCCCAGGAAAACUGUGAUGGUUGGUCACUUGACAGCAACUCCCUUCUCUCUGGGCCUCAUUUUUUUCUCAUUCUCAUAUGAGAGGGUUGGUUCUCUUCUCAUCUCUACAUAUCAUGUCUAAGAUUUUAGGAACAGGCCAGAGGGGAAGAGGUGAAUCAAACAAGGAAGACUCAAUUUGGAAUUUUCUGAGAGAUCUUUAUUUUUUACAAAGAGAGUGAAUGGGCACUGCCACCCCGGCCUUGGUUCUAGUGGCUUGCAAUGGUCUGAGAAAAGAGGGGAAAAACCAGAAUAGUCUAGUCAGGAACACAGCUUCUGACACCAUAUGGAACUGAGUUCAACUCCCAGCCAUGUCACUCACUGGCUGUAUGACCCUGGGAGAGUGACUUGAGCUCUCUGAGCCUCAGUUUUCUCAUCUGUACAAUGGGGGUAAUCAUAGUACUUACCUCAUGGGGGUUUUAAAUUAAACUAUUAACUAAGGUGUCAUCACGGUGCUUGGCAUAUGUUUAAGAGUCCAUAAAUGGUGGCUAAGACUAUUGUCACGAACAGUAUUAAUCCUCCCUGACCACUCAUUGCCAGAUGAGGUUUGCACUCUCACUGGGGCCUGAGCUUCACCUAUCACAGCUUCCAUCACAUUUCAUCAUUUUGCUCAUUUAAUCGUCUGUUCCCCACAAGACACACAUCGCUCUAUCCUCCAUGACAAGAAAAGACCUGGACCAAAGGAGGCACUUCAUAUACACUUGUAGAAAAAAGGAAGUUCAGCAGUAGUUCAAAGCUCCACCCAGAAGCCCUUGAGAUUCUUAGGGCCACACUGUAGCAGAAAACAUCCUCAAACCCUUCUGGCAUGUGCCCCACUCCCACUACUGACCUCCUAGGAUCAGGAUCUGCUGUUCUCACCCAUCCCCCCAGCACCUCUCAGAAGAGCCAGCACCUGGAGCCCUCGCCGCUUGCCCUGUCCUGCUUACCUCGUCAAUCCAGUCAAUGAAGGCCGAGACUCGCGUGAACACUGUGGGCUUCUUGCGGGUGUUGCAGCCAAAGCCAGAAACGAAGCUGGUCACGCCGUGGACCUGAAAGGAGCCAUCUGCUGCCGGGCAGUUGAGGGGUCCUCCAGAGUCACCCUGGAAUGGUUGGAGAGCAGUGGGGGACUGAGCUGUGUCUGAGCUUUAAGGAAUUGGUUCUGACUUUGGGGAUUUUGAGAAGCCCUUAUAUGACUUGACCUCUCUGAGCCUCAGUUUGCUCCUUUGUGAUGGGGCAUGAUAUAUAUCUUACAAGAUUUUGUGACAGUUAAAUGAGGUGAUAAAUAUAUGGUCUUAGCGCAAUGCCUGGU